rnacentral:rRNA from 1 species
AACGAACGCUGGCGGCGUGCCUAACACAUGCAAGUCGAACGAGAAAGGGGCUUCGGCUCCGAGUAAAGUGGCGCACGGGUGAGUAACACGUGGGUAACCUGCCUCUAAGAUUGGGAUAACUCGUCGAAAGAUGAGCUAAUACCGAAUAAGACCACAGUUCCCGCGGGAACAGGGGUCAAAGGUAGCCUCUGCUUGCAAGCUAUCACUUAGAGAUGGGCCUGCGCACCAUUAGCUAGUUGGUAGGGUAACGGCCUACCAAGGCAAAGAUGGUUAGCUGGUCUGGGAGGAUGAUCAGCCACACUGGAACUGAGACACGGUCCAGACUCCUACGGGAGGCAGCAGUGGGGAAUAUUGCGCAAUGGGCGAAAGCUUGACGCAGCAACGCCGCGUGAGUGAUGAAGGCCUUCGGGUCGUAAAGAUCUGUCGGGAGGAACGAAUGCUCCUGAGGUUAACAGCCUCGGGAGGUGACGGUACCUUCAAAGGAAGCACCGGCUAACUCUGUG